rnacentral:rRNA from 1 species
GACGGACGCUGGCGGCGUGCCUAAUACAUGCAAGUCGAGCGAGUCUGCCCCGUUCAUCGUAGUGCUUGCUCUCAGUGAAACCUGAUACAAACUACCGGCGGACCGGUGAGUAACACGUGGGUAACCUGCCCAAGAGAUCGGGAUAACACCUGGAAACAGAUGCUAAUACCGGAUAACAACUCAUGAUGCCUAUCAACUGUUUCGCGAUGGUUCUGCCAUCACUCCUGGCUGGACCUGCGGUGCCUUAACUAAUUGGUAGGGUAACGGCCUACCAAGGCGAUGAUGCAUAUCCUAGUUGAUACACUGAUCUUCCACAUUGGGACUGAGACACAGCCCCAACUCCUA